UGGCUCAGUGGUUGAGAGCACUGGUUGCUCUUCCAGAGGGCCUGGGUUCAAUUCCCAG
rnacentral:tRNA from 1 species